rnacentral:lncRNA from 1 species
UGAAGAAUCCCUGGAUUCUAUGCAGCCAUGAUCUGCACCCUGAAUGAAAGAUGAAGUGGCUUAUGGCAUGGAAAAGAAAGAAAGAAAGAAAGGAAGGAAGGAAGGAAGGAAGGAAGGAAGGAAGGAAGGAAGGAAGGAAGGAAGGAAGGAGACUUUAUCCUUGCUUGUUCAGCUAGCAAUUUUGAGCUCCUUCAAAACCCUGAGAUCGUUCUUUUCUCCCCCUUGUCUUAUCAGGUACUAUGCUUUCUAUUCAGAGGCAAGUCUGAGUCUCAGAAAAGCACAUAAACCUGAAAGCACGUCUAUGUUCCGCUAUCUCCCCAUGAAAGAGCCACUGAACGGGAAAGAGCUGAAAGGAUUCAUGGACGCUAGGAAAACCCUGAAUGGUACCAUUGUAGCCCUAGGGGUCACAUUGACAACACAGGAUUUGUUGCAUUUGAUACAAGAGUCCCAUUGCUGAAAUGCAGGUCAUUCUUUAAUUAUAAAACCAUCUCAUCUCUAUGGCAGUGAAAACAAUCAUGUGCAUCUUCCUGCACUCCUUCCUGCACUUCUUCUUUCUUUAAGUAAAUUUUGGAUGUGAUAUUCAGCACAAGCAAAGUGGAUCAAAAGUCUGAAUAUAACAAGGAAGGCACAGAGAGUGAGGGUUUUAGGCAGUAUUCAGACAGUCUAGUGGAAAUGCCACUGCACCAUCGCUGAAGUGACAUGAUCCGUCAGACUGGCUUGUCUCUGGAGUGAUGCUGCCCAGCUGCAGAAUGGAGCAUGGCCAGCAGGCACUGGCUAGCGUUUGACCACCAUGUUGGCCUGUUGGGUUUUCCAGUUCAUCGGAACACCGGCUCUUUGGGGGGGUGUUGCCAUUUCAGAUGACAAAACAAUGCACUAUCAACAUAUACCACAUUGCUAGGGAAUAUGACAGCUAGACAGCCCAAUUUAGGAUAUUUGUUGUUAUUAGCAAAUGUGUAUUCAUAAACUUUUGUUAGUCAAUUUAUUAGUAAUUUUUUAUUGGUGGGGCAGGACUGACUAAGAGAGAGUUAACAAGGCCCAGAAGACCAGCAAAUGUAUGAUAAGUGUCUGAGGUAUCACUGAUAGUCACAUCUUCUGUUAGGAAAUAACUAGUAAAUUCUGCACAGAGGACAGGAGGUGAUUAGAGAAAGUGGAUCAUAUCGACUAUCAAGGCCAAGCCAAGGAGCUUUGGUGCCCUAAAGGAAGUCUGACCUCGAAAGCUCCUCCAAACUGAUACAGACAAGAAGGCAUGAGGCCUGCUUUGUAGUCCGACUAUGUGCUUCUGGCAUUUCACUGGCUAUUGCUCACCAGCUACAUGUUUCAAAUAACAGAAAGAAGGUGUAGGUUGAUCUACAAAAUGUCCCAUGAACUGCAUUUCUAUUCGUCUAGCACACAAAAUCAAGAAAAAAUUGUCUGUAAUUUGCCCCUGCUUAAACCUUAGUAUGAAGGUCCAUUGACUAGUUUGUUUGUACUGUUGAGCUGGUUCUGCUGGUCAUCGUUAUCACCCUCGAGCUGGAACGAGAGGACAAACUAGGUGUGUGUGGAAAAAUAACCAAGAAAAGCAAGCAGAGAGCCAGCUACAGUUUUGGAAUGUAGACAAAGAUGUGAAAUUUGGAAUGCUGUAACUAAUGGCAUGUUUGCGUGUUUCCCACUCAUGUGAGAGUGAGUUACAUAGUUUAUCCAGCAGUGUAAAGAUACAAUUAAGAUUAGAUAUUAUUAAGAUGUUAAUAGUCUGACUAAAAAUACAGAUUAAUGAGAAGGCAUGCUAGAUGUUUCUCUCUGAAAACCCAGUUGGUGCCUACUGUAUGGUUUAGGCUAUGCCAUCACCUAUAUAUAAGUCCUGACCUAUAUAAGUCCAAAUAAUCUUGAGUAGUGACUUUCUUUUGAAGGAAACCAAGGCCGCGUCUCCAUGGUGCCAGCUUCAGCACAGGAUUGGGCCUACCUGACAGUCCUUCUUGCCUUCAGGCAGCCUCAGGAAGGGGUUUGAUGGCUCCACUGCCAUCUCUGAGGCUGUCAUCUUGAACUCUUUGUGCCAGCUCUCAGAGGGCNUCCUUGCCCACCCUGUGCAGACGCAAAGGGCUGGCAUGGGCACGCCUUUAUCACUGUGAAGACCAGCGUCAGUGUGCAACAAGCACCUUCAAAAACGGCACUGAAGUUUUCAGAGCUUAGAGAGGGAUUAAAAUCACUCCACGCGCCUUGGUGUGAGAUGCUGUGGAAACGACCUGACUUCAGGGUGCAUUCAAGCAGUUUUGAAAGCUGCGUGGGGUUGUGGCCCAAGUCUAGGGAAGUCUCUGGAAUUUUCCUUCAAUCAGAGAAACAGGGAUAUGUAUAAUAUGAUGAAGGAAGAAUUCCUGAUAUUCUUUCUUUUCUAAUGAUAGUUUUAUGAGCCAGUCAGUUCAGAAUGGUCCCAUAUAGAACACAAUCACACACUGCCCGAUUUAUUCAUUUUUAUCUUCAAAAUAUAAAUACGUAUUUUCCUAGUUAUUUUCCUUUUCCCUAUGUGCAGGUCUCAGUAAUUAGUCAGAAAACUUUUGACUUCAAUAAAUGUCAAAUACCACAGCA